UACGGAGGAUCCGAGCGUUAUCCGGAUUUAUUGGGUUUAAAGGGUGCGCAGGCGGGGGAUUAAGUCGGCGGUGAAAUUUUGCAGCUCAACUGUAAAAAUGCCUUCGAAACUGGUUUCCUUGAGUGUAGAUGAAGUAGGCGGAAUUUGUGGUGUAGCGGUGAAAUGCUUAGAUAUCACGAGGAACUCCGAUUGCGCAGGCAGCUUACUAAACCACUACUGACGCUCAGGCACGAAGGCGUGGGGAUCAAACAGGAUUAGAUACCCCGGUAGUCCCUGA
rnacentral:rRNA from 1 species